rnacentral:rRNA from 1 species
AGGACGAACGCUGGCGGCGUGCUUAACACAUGCAAGUCGAGCGGAAAGGCCCUUCGGGGUACUCGAGCGGCGAACGGGUGAGUAACACGUGAGUAAUCUGCCCCUAGCUCUGGGAUAGCUCCGGGAAACCGGGAUUAAUACCGGAUACGACCACCUUAGACAUCUUUUGUGGUGGAAAGAAUUUCGGCUAGGGAUGAGCUCGCGGCCUAUCAGCUUGUUGGUGGGGUAACGCUACCAAGGCGACGACGGGUA